rnacentral:rRNA from 1 species
GAUGAACGCUGACAGAAUGCUUAACACAUGCAAGUCUACUUGAUUCUACUUCGGUAGUUGAUGGUGGCGGACGGGUGAGUAACGCGUAAAGAAUCUGCCCUUUAGUUUGGGAUAACCUUUGGAAACGAAGGCUAAUACCGGAUAUUAUGGAGACGUCGCAUGGCGACUCCAUGAAAGCUAUAUGCGCUAGAGGAGGACUUUGCGUCCCAUUAGUUAGUUGGUGAGGUAAUGGCUCACCAAGACCGCGAUGGGUAGCCGGCCUGAGAGGGUGAUCGGCCGCAAGGGAACUGAGACACGGUCCUUACUCCUACGGGAGGCAGCAGUGGGGAAUAUUGGUCAAUGGGCCACAAGCCUGAUCCAGCAAUUCCGUGUGCACGAUGAAGGUCUUCGGAUUGUAAAGUGCUUUCAGUAGGGAAGAAAAAAAUGACGGUACCUACGGAAGAAGCGACGGCUAAAUAUGUGCCAGCCGCCGCCGUAA